AUCAUGUUGAACAUACUCUUUAACCAUUCAUUUUUAGUUAAAUAUUUUUAAGUGAAUUAGUAGGAUCUGUGCCAUCAUCACAUUUAUUUUUAGUUAAAUUGGUAAAGGGGUCUCCACCAUAGAACACAGUGGAGGGGAGAGGUAAAAAAACUGUCAAAAUACACACCUACACAAUAUACAGUACAUGUGUUUAAACAAUAAUCUUAUGCAAAUCAUAUGCAGUUUAAUCACCCCUUAUCUAGAAUAGUGAUGGGUGACAUGCUCUCACUCCUGAAAAUACAGCAUCCCACCCUGCAGCUAUGCUGAGUCAAAUAUUUCAGUCACAAAGAUAAAACAGCAUUGUAUACCACACAACUGCACCAUGGUCUGUCAUUUACAAGGAUUCACUAUAUGAUAGACUAAAAAAUGAGAAAAAAAAAAAAAAAAAAAAACUUAAUAUCAUCAAUGACUGUCAUUUUCUGCGAUUUUUUUUUUUUUUAAGAAAGACAGACCACAAUGUCAGUUACCCGGCAAGCAGCACAGCAAGGUUUAACCAAUGUAACUAAAAGAAAGUCUGUGGUCAGAACCCUUACAAUGCACCUCAAUGCAAACAUCAUCUGUUAAGUAUAGCAGUCAAGUACAGCAACAACUCUGAACCUCAACAUUUAAUUUGCUUUAAAAGGUCACAAAAGUGUUAAGGAACAAACACAAUUCUCUUCACCAAUGUAUUUAAACAAGUUAUUAACACUUCAUGAAUUUUAAAAUACAGAAAAAAAAAAUACUCCUAAAAUAAUCAUAUCUCUGUAUGUUAACAGAAAGCUCUGAAAGUGUGUACUAACAGACCUGACCUGUGAUCUAAACUGAACCCCAAAAUCUAUUUCUUCUUUUAGGUACACCUAUAACUGUGUUUAAUCUACCAGAGGUCCUUCUUCAUGGUAUCAAGAGGCACCAUAUGUAGUAAAGGUUUUCAAGUGUAAGGAUGCACAAGAAUGGAAAAGGGAUGUUGCAGUUUCCUGCAGAGGGCAGCAUGAGACCACAUUCUGCCUUAUCUGCCUUGGUGGUAUCCUGCACCAUCAGCUCCACUGAAGUGGACUUCAGCUCCAUCAGCUCCACCCUGGUGGGCUCCAGCUCCGCCGAAUCUGCUCCGGCUUCCAGGUCUGCCUGCUCUGCCUUGGCUCUCUGCUCCGCCUUGGCUCUCUGCUCUGCCGGUUCUGUCUCAGUCCCCUGUUCCUCUUCUUCCUCAUGGACCUGGCCCUCCAUCCCUCCCCCUGUUCUGCCUCCGCUCCACCUCCCUCAUAGACCCUGGUCUGUUCAUAUUAAGGAGCAUCUAGAAGCCACUCCUUGGGGGGCUCUGUCACGAACUCCAUUCUGUACCUUGCCAUUCACUAAGGACUCCAUUUCCAAUAAUCCUUUGCCCAGACUCAUCAGCACUCAUUAUCAGUUCACAGCUGCCUCAUAUUAGUAGGACUAAAAGAAUAGCACACACACUCUGUCUUCGCUGGUGAUUAAAUGUUUGUAUGUUAUCCUAGUUUCCUGUGAGUUCCUUGUUUUCCUAGUCUUGCCUUAGUGUCAUGGUCGUGGACCAUUUCCUUGACUCUGAUUGCUUGCUAUAUACCUUUAUCUUCACCUGUUCCACUCUUUUGCCAUUGCUUUGGAUGUGAUUUUUUUUUUUUUUUUGCUGAUGUUUGACCAUGCCUGUUUUGACCAUGCUCUUCUAAUAAAGCCUGCAAUUGGAUCCCA
ensembl:lncRNA